GCCAGACUCCUACGGGAGGCAGCAGUGGGGAAUAUUGCACAAUGGGGGAAACCCUGAUGCAGCGACGCCGCGUGAGUGAAGAAGUAAUUCGUUACGUAAAGCUCUAUCAGCAGGGAAGAAAAUGACGGUACCUGAGUAAGAAGCCCCGGCUAACUACGUGCCAGCAGCCGCGGUAAUACGUAGGGGGCAAGCGUUAUCCGGAUUUACUGGGUGUAAAGGGAGAGUAGGUGGCAGAGCAAGUCCGAAGUGAAAACCCAAAGCUCAACUAUGGGAAUGCUUUAGAAACUGCUCAGCUAGGGUGCAGGAGAGGCAAGUGGAAUUCUUAGUGUAGCGGUGAAAUGCGUAGAUAUUAGGAGGAACACCAGUGGCGAAGGCGGCUUGCUGGACUGUAACUGACACUGAGGCUCGAAAGCGUGGGGAGCAAACAGGAUUAGAUACCCGCGUA
rnacentral:rRNA from 1 species